rnacentral:rRNA from 1 species
CCUACGGGGCGCUGCAGUGGGGAAUAUUGGACAAUGGGGGCAACCCUGAUCCAGCCAUGCCGCGUGUGUGAAGAAGGCCCUCGGGUUGUAAAGCACUUUCAGUGAGGAAGAACGCUUGGUGGUUAAUACCCAUCAGGAAAGACAUCACUCACAGAAGAAGCACCGGCUAACUCCGUGCCAGCAGCCGCGGUAAUACGGAGGGUGCGAGCGUUAAUCGGAAUUACUGGGCGUAAAGCGCGCGUAGGUGGCUUGAUAAGCCGGUUGUGAAAGCCCCGGGCUCAACCUGGGAACGGCAUCCGGAACUGUCAAGCUAGAGUGCAGGAGAGGAAGGUAGAAUUCCCGGUGUAGCGGUGAAAUGCGUAGAGAUCGGGAGGAAUACCAGUGGCGAAGGCGGCCUUCUGGACUGACACUGACACUGAGGUGCGAAAGCGUGGGUAGCAAACAGGAAUAGAUACCCGAGUAGUC